GGGGUUGUGGCUCAGCGGUAUGAGCACUCACCUAGCAUGUGCAAGGCACUGGGUUCGAUCCUCAGCACCACA
rnacentral:tRNA from 1 species